GUCACCGAUUCCCGUAUGAUCACUGAAGUUAAGCAACGUCGAGCCUGGUCAGAACCUAGAUGUGACCGCUUGGGAAUACCAGGUGCCGUAA